rnacentral:rRNA from 1 species
UGCAGUCGAACGCUAUUUAUAGAGUGGCGCACGGGUGAGUAACGCGUGGGAACCUGCCUUUUUCUGUGGGAUAACGGUUGGAAACGACCGCUAAUACCGCAUACGCCCUACGGGGGAAAGGUCCGCCGGGGAAAGAGGGGCCCGCGUCUGAUUAGCUAGUUGGUGGGGUAACGGCCUACCAAGGCGACGAUCAGUAGCUGGUCUGAGAGGAUGAUCAGCCACACUGGGACUGAGACACGGCCCAGACUCCUACGGGAGGCAGCAGUGGGGAAUAUUGGACAAUGGGGGCAACCCUGAUCCAGCAAUGCCGCGUGUGUGAUGAAGGCCUUAGGGUUGUAAAGCACUUUCACUGGUGAAGAUGAUGACGGUAACCAGAGAAGAAGCCCCGGCUAACUUCGUGCCAGCAGCCGCGGUAAUACGAAGGGGGCGAGCGUUGUUCGGAAUUACUGGGCGUAAAGGGCGCGUAGGCGGUCYUUUAAGUUAGGCGUGAAAUCCCCGGGCUCAACCUGGGAACUGCGCUUAAGACUGGAAGACUAGAAAACGGAAGAGGGUAGUGGAAUUCCCAGUGUAGAGGUGAAAUUCGUAGAUAUUGGGAAGAACACCAGUGGCGAAAGCGGCUACCUGGUCCGAUUUUGACGCUGAGGCGCGAAAGCGUGGGGGAGCAAACAGGAUUAGAUACCCUGGUAGUCCACGCCGUAAACGAUGUCUGCUAGAUGUCGGGGGGUUGCCCCUCGGUGUCGCCGCUAACGCAUUAANCA